UACGAAGGGGGCUAGCGUUGUUCGGAAUUACUGGGCGUAAAGCGCGCGCAGGCGGUCUUCCAAGUCAGUGGUGAAAGCCCGGAGCUCAACUCCGGAACUGCCAUUGAAACUGUAAGACUUGAGGAUGAGAGAGGUGAGUGGAAUUCCCAGUGUAGAGGUGAAAUGCGUAGAUAUCAAGAGGAACACCCAUGGCGAAGGCAGCUCGCUGGCCUAUAACUGACGCUGAGGCGCGAAAGCUGGGGGGAGCAAACAGG
rnacentral:rRNA from 1 species